UUUGGUGACUGCGCUCCUCUAACUAGCCAGUUACCUCGGUUCAAAGAGUUGCUGCUCUGAGAACCUUCGAGAAAACCGCCUUGCUGGGCGGUUUUUUCGU
rnacentral:antisense_RNA from 1 species